rnacentral:rRNA from 1 species
GACGAACGCUGGCGGCGUGCUUAACACAUGCAAGUCGAACGGAAAGGCCCUGCUUUUGUGGGGUGCUCGAGUGGCGAACGGGUGAGUAACACGUGAGUAACCUGCCCUUGACUUUGGGAUAACUUCAGGAAACUGGGGCUAAUACCGGAUAGGAGCUCCUGCUGCAUGGUGGGGGUUGGAAAGUUUCGGCGGUUGGGGAUGGACGGGCGGCUGAUCAGCUAGUUGGUGGGGUAGUGGCUUACCAAGGCGAUGACGGGUAGCCGGCCUGAGAGGGUGACCGGCCACACUGGAACUGAGACACGGUCCAGAGUCCUACGGGAGGAAGCAGUGGGGAACAUUGGACAAUGGGCGCAAGCCUGAUCCAGUCAUACCGCGUGGGUGAAGAAGGCCUUCGGGUUGUAAAGCCGUUUUGUUGGGAAAGAAAAGCAGCAGGUUAAUACCCCGCUGGUCUGACGGUACCCAAAGAAUAAGCACCGGCUAACUUCGUG